ACUGCUUGAUUGACUACCUGAGAAACAGAGUUUGGGACAGCAUUGCGUUUUAUUGAUGUAAAACAAACAACUCAAGUGUUUUUUCUGCUAAUGUCAAAAAAUUGUGUAAUAUAAAAUUAACUUUGAUGUCAGUUUUUGCCAUUGUAUUUCUCAAAAAGCGAUUUUUCUGCUGAUCAAAUUAUCGUAUCAAUUAUCAAAAUAGAAAUUCAUGACACAGGCUAAUCACUCGUGAAAGCUUAUGUAGGGGGAAAAAAAAUCUGGUAUUAUUUUAUUUUCCCUCCAAAUUUAUGUAUUAUUAAUUCAUUUUUUUCUCUUUUCUUUUUGCAGAGCAACAACACUGAAAAAAGAAAUGGUACCACCUCGGACAGGACCUCAACCGAGAGGAAAAGGAGGUCCGAUUCAAAUAUGGAAGGGGGCGGUAAAAGGACUAGGGUUAAUAGUACAGAAACUAAUUCAGUUAACGAUGAAAGUUCAGCCACUUACGCGGCUCUCAACAAUACUGAUGAUUCCAUGUCGAAUAUUUCCCUCGAAUUAAAUGAAAAGAAAACUGCAGAAGCUGUAGAAUUAUUAAAGGCAAGUAAUGUCCUCGAUUAAUACUGCGCUGUUUUCUCGCUCAGCAAGACUGAAAUUUAGCAGCUUAGAAAGAUAGAUUGCAAUUUUUUUUCUCUUUUUUUUUCUUGCAACGGUUACCAUUGUCAAGCAAUUAUUUAUCUAUCAAUCAUAAUAGAAAGAAACGAUCGUGCAAUAAUUAUUUUAGAGGCAACUUUUAGAUUCAGUUGUAAUUUUGUAAAAAAGGCUCAAGUUUGACCUUUUUGUGAAAGAAUUAUGCCAGGUCAAAAUUCAAUUCCUAGAAGAAAAGAAUGGUCAUUUUUGUGGCUGCAAAUAUUUUUUUAAAAAAAAGGAAAAACAAAUGUCUUUAUUGACUCCAGAUAUGAACAAACCAAAAUUACUCUGGUUUUACCAUUGGUCAGGAGUUCAUUAAACUUUUCUCUUGAAUUUACAACUCACUCUCUAAAAAAAUGUCAAUGAUUAAUCUGAAGUUAUAAAUUCAUAAUCAAAGUAGUUCAAACUGUCUUCUAUUUUUUUCUUCUUAAUUUUGGUUUUUAUCAUAUUGCAGGUACUUUUUAAGGGUAACAGUGCAGGGUAAGGGUGCAAGUGUCUCCCAUUUUUUGCAGUUAAUGUAAGGUAGUCGUAAUAUGCUAAGCUGAUCCAAAAGUUUAGCGAUCCAGGACGAAAAAUUCGCUUAAUUUUACCACCUUGUUUGGCUUUCCUGCCCCCAAAACUGCACAAUAGAGAGAGCAAAGCAAUGUUGGGCCUGUGUUGAUAAUUACCAUGAUCAUAUCGCGUUUUUCUAUUCUUUUUUUCUCUUUUAAUUAGUGCCUUUUUUUCACUUCUCUGCUUAACGUACAUAAAUUGCUCUAAAUCUUUAAACUUAGAAUAUCUCUGAAUUUACUUUUGUCGUUUGAUGUUCCUGCCGUAAUUUUUUCUGAAUCCUUACAUCAUUGUUGGGAAGUUCUGAACGGCAUGUUGUUUCUUGUCAUCGUCUCAAGAUCGACUAGAUUUCUCUUCUUCUUUUUUUCUCGUUACAUUUUAUCAAACCAGAAAUUUCACUCUCGCUUCUUUCCA
rnacentral:lncRNA from 1 species